rnacentral:tRNA from 1 species
GGAGAGGUGGCCGAGUGGCUGAAGGCCCCGCUCUCGAAAAGCGGUAUCCUGGCUAAAACCGGGAUCGUGGGUUCGAAUCCCACCCUCUCCGCCA